AUAAAAUUAUUUUGACUCUAGGUCUGUUCAUAUGGUGUCAAGCUGCAGAGACUUUGGAUCAACUAACAGAUUUGGGACAAAAUGUGACUAUAAACUGUGAUCUGGACUCAAAUGAAGUUUAUUGGAUUUUACUGAAACAAUCAGAUUCUCAUACAGUGAUACUGCGCUCAUUCUCAAACCCAACAUCUGCUUUUUACUUAAAUGAAACAUUUAAAAACAAAUAUUCAGUACAAUCUAAACACCGUCUGGUGAUAUAUAAUAUUACUGUAGAUGAGUUAGGAGUUUAUUACUGUAUGAACACAGAUACACCUCCAAAACUCAGUAACAGCACAAGACUGCACAUCAAUGGUCAGUGUUUAUAAUUAAUUGCCAAGUUAUUUAAAUACUUAAACAACAUCAUUUACCAAUUGUUGUUCUGGAAAAAAGAUGAAAGUGUUGACAAUCAGUCGUUUUUAAAAAAAAUAAUUUCCUUUCAGAGCCGACUGAACUCACAGAGUUAUCCGUGUAUGUGAAUGAGACUUUAGUGAAGUGUAUUGAACACAAUGAGACACAAUGGCACUUUAUCAUCAUUAUAUCUGCGCUACUAAACGCUCUGAUCAUUAUCAUCACUGUAGUUAGUUGUUACUCUAAAGAAAGAUUAAAGCUUCAGGAUACAGAUCUACAGCAGACUAAACACGUGUAUCUAAAACAACACGAAGAGAUGAGCCGAGUACAGUACACUGCAGUGAGAUUUUCAACAUGUGAGGAGUCUGAAGACACUCGAGUCGACUGAACUUCUGCUCUUCUAACAGUUUCAUUUCUUAUAAUGUUUAAUAAAGUAUCAAUGUUAUCAGUUAAUGUUGCUUAUAAAGUCAUGAAUAAAUAAUCUUUGUGAAAUCUACCAUGUUUUACUGUGGUAACUGCUAUAGAGGUUGUGAUGUCUUUUGUUUUUGAUUGUUGAUUGAGAACAGGAACUUGAUGGUUGGACUCGAUGUUGUGGGUGUUUAAAUAAAGAUCAGGUGUUGAUAUUCAACAGAAAACCACUGAAGACAAAUGACAGAAAUAUACUAUGACUAAAUUAUUCAUGUGAAUGUUUUGCACUGACUCUUUGUUGAGGUUAAUCUUUGUA